UCCGUAGGUGAACCUGCGGAAGGAUCAUUAAAAAGAAUUAUACACUUUGCAUUUGCGAACAAAAAAAUAAAUUUUUUUAUUCGAAUCAUUUAAAUCAAAACUUUCAACAACGGAUCUCUUGGUUCUCGCAUCGAUGAAGAACGCAGCGAAUUGCGAUACGUAGUAUGACUUGCAGACGUGAAUCAUCGAAUCUUUGAACGCACAUUGCGCCUCGAGGCAUUCCUCGAGGCAUGCCUGUUUGAGCGUCGCAUCCCCUCUAACCCCCGGUUAGGCGUUGCUCCGAAAUAUCAACCGCGCUGUCAAACACGUUUACAGCACGACAUUUCGCCCUCAAAUCAGGUAGGACUACCCGCUGAACUUAAGCAUAUCAAUAAGCGGAGGAAAAGA
rnacentral:misc_RNA from 1 species